ACAUCCAUAUCACGUUGAAACACCGUUUCCCGUACGAUUAUCAAAACUAAGCAACGUCGAGCCUGGUCAGUACCAAGAUGGGUGACCGCUUGGAAAUACCAAGUGCUGG